rnacentral:rRNA from 1 species
AUUGAACGCUGGCGGCAGGCCUAACACAUGCAAGUCGAGCGGAAACGAUCCUAGCUUGCUAGGAGGCGUCGAGCGGCGGACGGGUGAGUAAUGCAUAGGAAUCUGCCCGGUAGUGGGGGAUAACGUGGGGAAACUCACGCUAAUACCGCAUACGCCCUACGGGGGAAAGCAGGGGAUCUUCGGACCUUGCGCUAUCGGAUGAGCCUAUGUCGGAUUAGCUUGUUGGUGAGGUAAUGGCUCACCAAGGCGACGAUCCGUAGCUGGUCUGAGAGGAUGAUCAGCCACACUGGGGACUGAGACACGGGCCCAGACUCCUACGGGAGGCAGGCAGUGGGGAAUAUUGGACAAUGGGCGAAAGCCUGAUCCAGCCAUGCCGCGUGUGUGAAGAAGGCUUUCGGGUUGUAAAGCACUUUCAGCGAGGAAGAAGGCCUGACGGUUAAUACCUGUCAGGAAGGACAUCACUCGCAGAAGAAGCACCGGC